AAAUGGUCUGCGCCCACCGACAAGUUUGAUUUCGGAUACUAUACUGCAGAAUAAUGCCUGUAAUUUUAGUUAAGGAUUUUUCUCGUUUUAAGCGAAUCCGACGAUUUAAAAGAUUGCCAUCCCCACGUUUGCUGUUUCUGUUAUACAACCACGCAAAUUUUAGUUCAGCUGGGAAAACUCUGUGCUGUUAGUUUUAGUAUCAAAAUGAAUCGACUUUGAAUCAAAUUUAAAAAUCACUCAGUGGCGGAUUUCAAUUAUUUUUUUCUGAGUGGUGUCUUGAAAAAUUAUAUUUUUUUCAAUAGUAUCUGUAUUAAUAUGUGCCUCUUUUUAGACGACAUUUUAUAGAAAUUAUAUUGUUGUCUGGGGGAAGGAGGUUCCGGGUUGUUGCGUUAUCUCUUUUUUUUUAAACUUUUAAGUGAGUGCGCGAAAUAUUACGGUAUUUAAAAAUGCUUACAUCUCGCUGAAAAAUUGAAACCACGUCUACAAAUGACAUCACCAUUCACCAUAUGGGCAGUAUUUUUAUCUUUAAGUUUUAUUAUAGACAAUUCCCACAAAUAUUAAAACUAACGGCACCGAGUUGUCCCUGAACAUUUGCUAGGGCACGCAGGUGUAUGGCUGCAGAGACAUCACGUGCUGGUCGUCUUAAGACAAUAUUGGCGUCAUCGUCGCUGUGAGUUCGUUCCUUUAUGGAGGCGUACAUAUUUGUGUUAUUAUAUUCAGUGGCGUAUGAUUAUACCGAGACGACUACGAAAACUAUUCCGGGAUUUUAAUAUCGCGCGGUAUGCGGUGAGCGCAAUCAACAGUCACCAUGCGAAAUCUCACGCUUUGGUUACGGAUUCAGAAAUUUACAAAAGGACCGAAAAUGCAUGUCGUGAGCAAUAAUCCAUAUGGUCGUCGUUCGCUUAAUGAUAUUUUUUUUCUCAUUUCUAAUCUGUGUACAACACGCGCGCGUCACUAUUAGUCGGAUGGAUCGGAUUAAUAAUUCCUUUGUUGCGUUCCGGUGAUAAUCCACCACAAAAUAACUACACGACGUAUUUUACAAGUACAUCGGACGGCGUAAUUUGAUUGAAAAAAAAAAGCGGGAGGAGUUGGCUCAAACUUUGCAUUGCGAGAAUAUUGAAAUAAACGAUUCGGUAUCGUACAGU